ensembl:snoRNA SNORA62 Small nucleolar RNA SNORA62/SNORA6 family
GUUGCACAUUGUUAGACUGGCUAAUGAACUCUCAAGUACAGGUAGUGUGUUAUACGAGGGGCAAGUUUUUCACUAAUAUCACAAGGGUCUCUGGCCCGAUGAGUGGCAUUUGAUAGUAAUCCUUGCCACAAGU